rnacentral:lncRNA from 1 species
CUUAGAAAUUCCUAAGGCUCAAUGUUGUGUGGAAGAUUCUGAGAAAGAAAGUAGUUUCCGAUCUUUGGGAUUCCCCUGAGAUGGUCCAAUCUGCAAAAAGUUCAUUGCCAUUUCCAUCAAGGACACUGAGAACAAGAGUCUUAUCUGGAUUGGAUCCUGGGAAUUCAGAAGCUUCAGCAGCUUGUAGACGCUACUAGAAUUCCUCAACUUGUGGCUGCAUGAUCCAAUCUCUGCCUCUGUGAUCACCUUGCCUCCUCCUCUUCUGUCUGGGUCUCCUCCUCUGGAGAAAGAGUGUCAGGCCUCUGAGCCUAAGCUAAGCCAUCAUAUCCCCUGUGACCUUCAUGUACACAUCCAGAUGGCUGGUUCCUGCCUUACCUGAUGACAUUAUCUUGUGAAAUUCCUUCUCCUUGCUCAUCUCCUUGCUCUCCUCGCUCAAAAGCCCCCCUACUGAGCACCUUGUGACCCCCACUCCUGCCUGCCAGAGAACAACCUCCCUUUUUCGUUUACCUACCCAAAUCUUAUAAAAUGUCCCCACUCCUAUCUCCCUUCACUGACUAUCUUUUUGGACUCAGCCCACCUGCACCCAGGUGAAAUAAACAGCUUUAUUGCUCACACAAAGCCUGUUUGGUGGUCUCUUCACAAGGAUGCAUGUGAAAUUUGGUGCCGUGACUCAGAUCAGGGGACCUCCCUUGGGAGAUCAAUCCCCUCUCCUCCUGCUCUUUGCUCUAUGAGAAAGAUCCACCUACGACCUCAGGUCCUCAGACUGACCAGCCCAAGAAACAUCUCACCAAUUUCAAAUCUGGUAAGUGGCUUCUUUUUACUCUCUUCUCCAACCUCCCUCACUAUCCCUCAACCUAUUUCUCCUCCCUCACUAUCCCUCAACCUCUUUCUCCUUUCAAUCUUGGCACCACACUUCAAUCUCUUCCUUCUCUUAAUUUCAAUUCCUUUCAUUUUCUGGUAGAGACGAAGGGGACACGUUUUAUCCAUGGACCCAAAACUCUGGCACUGCUCACAGACUAGGGAAGGCAGCCUUCCCUUGGUGUUUAAUCAUUGCAGGGACGCCUCUCUGAUUAUUCACCCAGGUUUCAGAGGUGUCAGACCAUGCAGGGAUGCCUGCCUUGGUCCUUCACCCUUAACAGCAAGUCCUGCUUUUCUGGGGGAGAAGCAAGAACCCCUCAACCCCUUCUCCUUCACCCUUAGCAGCAAGUCCCACUUUUCUGGGGGAGGGGCAGGAACCCUGACCUCUUAUCUCUGCACCCCAAUCCCUUAUUUCCAUGCCCUGACCUCUUAUCUCUGUGCCCUGAUCCCUUAUUUGCAUGCCCUGCCCUCUCAUCUUUGUGCCCCGAUCCCUUAUUUCCACAACCUGACCUCUUAUCUCUGCACCCCAACCCUUUAUUUCUGUGCCCUGA